rnacentral:misc_RNA from 1 species
GAUGAAGAACGUAGCGAAAUGCGAUAAGUAAUGUGAAUUGCAGAAUUCCGUGAAUCAUCGAAUCUUUGAACGCACAUUGCGCCCCUUGGUAUCCCGAGGGGCAUGCCUGUUCGAGCGUCAUUUCACCACUCAAGCCUGGCUUGGUGUUGGGCGACGUCCCCUUUGGGGACGCGCCUCGAAACGCUCGGCGGCGUGGCACCGGCUUUAAGCGUAGCAGAAUCUUUCGCUUUGGAAGUCGGGGCCCCGUCUGCCGGAAGACCUACUCGCAAGGUUGACCUCGGAUCAGGCAGGGAUACCCGCUGAACUUAAGCAUAUCAAUAAGCGGAGGA